GGGCGGCUUACAUGCCAGUCGAACGAAGCGCCCGCGCGGAUUCCCUCGGGAUGAAGCGCGGAUGACUGAGUGGCGGACGCGUGAGUCACGCGUGGGCAACCUGCCCCGUGCCGGGGGACAACAGCCGGAAACGGCUGCUAAUACCGCAUGAUCCGGGAGGGCCGCAUGGCCCUGCCGGGAAGGCUCCGGCGGCACGGGAUGGGCCCGCGUCUGAUUAGUUUGUUGGCGGGGUAACGGCCCACCAAGACUGCGAUCAGCAGCCGGCCUGAGAGGGCGGCCGGCCACAUUGGGACUGAGACACGGCCCAGACUCCUGCGGGAGGCAGCAGUGGGGAAUAUUGCACAAUGGGGGAAACCCUGAUGCAGCGACGCCGCGUGGGCGACGAAGCGCUCCGGCGCGUAAAGCCCUGUCAGCAGGGAAGAAAAAAGACAGUACCUGGCCAAGAAGCCCCGGCUAACUACGUGCCAGCAGCCGCGGUAAUACGUAGGGGGCAAGCGUUAUCCGGAUUCACUGGGCGUAAAGGGAGCGCAGGCGGCACGGCAAGUCUGGUGUGAAAGCCCGGGGCCCAACCCCGGGACUGCAUUGGAAACUGCCGGGCUGGAGUGCCGGAGAGGUAAGCGGAAUUCCUGGUGUAGCGGUGAAAUGCGCAGAUAUCAGGAAGAACACCGGUGGCGUAGGCGGCUUACUGGACGGCAACUGACGCUGAGGCUCGAAAGCGUGGGGAGCAAACAGGAUUAGAUACCCUGGUAGUCCACGCCGUAAACGACGAAUACCAGGGUGUCGGCGGGCAGGGCCCGCCGGUGCCGCAGCUAACGCAGUAAGUAUUCCGCCUGGGGAGUACGUCGCAAGA
rnacentral:rRNA from 1 species